AGAGGGAAGCAGACCCAAGAUUGAAAGCUGGCGUCUUCGGCGUCCGCAUUGUAAUCUCAAGAAGUGUUUUCCGCUUCGGACCAAGCCUAAGUCCCCUGGAAAGGGGCAUCAUAGAGGGUGAUAAUCCCGUACAUGGCUUGGAGCGCCCGAGGCUUUGUGAUACGCUUUCUAAGAGUCGAGUUGUUUGGGAAUGCAGCUCAAAAUGGGUGGUAAAUGCCAUCUAAGGCUAAAUAUUGGGGAGAGACCGAUAGCGAACAAGUACAGUGAUGGAAAGAUGAAAAGAACUUUGAAAAGAGAGUUAAACAGUACGUGAAAUUGCCAAAAGGGAAGGGUAGGAGGUCAGAGAUGCGGCCUGGGAUUCAGCCUUGCUUUUGCUUGGUGUUUUUCCCAGAUUGCAGGCCAACGUCGGUUUUGGGCACUGGAGAAGGGUAGGAGGAACGUGGCACCUCUCGGGGUGUGUUAUAGCCUCCUACUGGAUACAGCGACCGAGACCGAGGACAGCAGCGUACUCGCAAGAGCGGGCCUUCGGGCACCUUUACGCUUAGGGCGUUGGCAUAAUGGCCCUCUACCACCCGUCUUGAAACAGGGA
rnacentral:rRNA from 1 species